GCUGCUCAGGAAUUCCUGUCUGAAAUUGUUCCAGUGGGCCAGUCUAAUGAUCUUCUUAAUCCAUUUUGGCUUAUUGGAGUUGGAUUGUCAGUUUAGACCGUAGCUGCAGUAGGUUGUGGUUUUUCAAGGGAUUUCUGGUCCAUUACAAUUAGGGCUGUGCAAAAAAAACCGGUAACCGAACUGAACUUGAAUUUUCGGGUAAUUUUCAUAAGAUACUCGAAUUUUUGGUUCGGGUAUUAGUUAUUUAAUUUUAGAAAACCGGGUACCCAAUAUCCGGUUUUAUUAAAAAAAAAAAAAAAAACAACAUGCAGUCGCGCAGACUUUCAAUUUUCAAAGGCAAAAGGCAAAAGUCUCAAAUCUGAAACAAGUCUGAAAUCCCUUAUGCCCUAAAACUAAAACUCGUCAUUGCGUUAACUUCAAGUACUCAAGUCCUGCAGGACCUGCACACAAGCGCACAGCCGCACUCAAACUCAUCUCUCUCGCUCUCAAAUUCAGAUUCUCGCCUUCUCUAGUCUCAGUCUACAUCUGCACUGCACAGUCGCACUCAAUACUCAUCUCUCUCACUCUCAAAUUCUCCAAUCUCAGUCUGCAUCUGCACCACACAACCACACUCAUCUCUGUCACUCUCAACAGCCGCACUCAUCUCUCUCUCUCAAAUUCUCCCGUCUGCAUUUGCAGUCUUCACUCUCCACUAAAGUCUAAAUCAAAUUCGGGUAUCCGCAAAACCGGAUCGGUUAGCCGGUACCCGAAUAUUCGGGUACCCGAUUUUUGGUUAAAACCUGAGCGAGUUUCCGGUUUUGCACAGUCCUAAUUACAAUCUGCUGCAUGCUAGUUGGUGUAGGGGAGGCUUCAUUUAUUAGUCUUGCAGCCCCAUUUAUUGAUGAUAAUCCUCCAGUUUCCCGGGUUGUAUUUCUUUAAAAAAUUUCCAACUAAAGAAGUAGCUGUUUUAAUGCAUAUCUAGCUUCUGAAG